rnacentral:tRNA from 1 species
AAAAAAAUUCAUAUUACUAGAACACAUUGGUAUUGAAGGAACUAGAUACUGUUCCGAAAUAUCACUUACUCGAACCGUCGUGACCGCGUAGCUCAGUUGGAAGAGCAUUGGGCUAGUAUUCCAAAGGUCGUAGGUUCGAAUCCCACCGUGGCCGGGCAUAUUUUUCAAGCUCGCCCGGUGUGGAUAUGCACUCAGAGGAAGAGCUGUAUGUUGUAAUUGUAUUCAGAUCACUAGAUCAGUAGAGAAUAGAACUGGGAUUAGAUUAAUCGCUGGAAGCCGUUAGCAUUGCAUAAUAUAAGUACUAC